rnacentral:rRNA from 1 species
UACGUAGGGUGCAAGCGUUGUUCGGAUUUACUGGGCGUAAAGGGCGCGUAGGCGGCAUGACAAGUCACUUGUGAAAUCUCCGGGCUUAACUCGGAACGGUCAAGUGAUACUGUCGCGCUAGAGUGCGGAAGGGGCAAUCAGAAUUCUUGGUGUAGCGGUGAAAUGCGUAGAUAUCAAGAGGAAUACCUGAGGUGAAGACGGGUUGCUAGGCCGACACUGACGCUGAAGCGCGAAAGCCAGGGGAGCAAACGGG